UACGUAGGGGACCAAGCGUUGUUCGGAUUUACUGGGCGUAAAGGGCGCGUAGGCGGCAUGACAAGUCACUUGUGAAAUCUCCGGGCUUAACUCGGAACGGUCAAGUGAUACUGUCGCGCUAGAGUGCGGAAGGGGCAAUCAGAAUUCUUGGUGUAGCGGUGAAAUGCGUAGAUAUCAAGAGGAAUACCUGAGGUGAAGACGGGUUGCUAGGCCGACACUGACGCUGAAGCGACGAAAGCCAGGGGAGCAAACGGG
rnacentral:rRNA from 1 species